AUGGAAGGAUUUAACCCGCAGAUUCGCUUCCCGCCAAGCGACCGGCUGACGACACGGAUUUGAAUCCGUUCAUGGAUGACAAUGAGGCCGUUAACGAGAAGUAUCCGAUUCCCGAAUCGGCUGUUGGAAUUGUAAUUGGUCGAGGGGGAUCCGAAAUUCAGGGAAUUCAAGCCAAGGCUGGUUGUCGUGUUCAAAUGUCACCAGACGCCGACCCAUCUUCUGGAGUCAGGAUGGUUACUUUAGAAGGAUCCCGUUCCAAUGUUGAGACCGCGAAACAUCUUAUCAACGAGGUCGUUGCACGUUCUCAAAAUCCUCGUCCUCAGUACGGGUUCCCCCGCGCCCAAACCACUAUUGACAUUGCAAUCCCACCAAACCGUUGUGGUCUGAUCAUUGGAAAGUCUGGUGAUACCAUUAGACAGCUUCAGGAGAAAAGUGGUUGUAAAAUGAUCCUUGUACAAGACAAUCAAUCCGUUAGCGACCAGUCCAAGCCUUUACGUAUUACCGGUGAUCCACAAAAGAUUGAACUUGCAAAACAGUUAGUUGCCGAAAUUCUUAACAGUGGAGGUGAUGGUAAUGGAGGAAGUGGCCUUCAGAUGCACCACGCUGGUGGUGGUGGUGGAGCUUCUGCUCGCGGAGAAGUUGUCGUUCCAAGAAGUUCGGUUGGUAUUAUUAUUGGAAAGCAAGGUGACACUAUCAAACGUCUUGCCAUGGAAACAGGAACUAAGAUUCAGUUCAAACCUGACGAUGAUCCGAGCACACCAGAGAGAUGCGCUGUUAUCAUGGGAACUCGUGAUCAAAUUUAUCGAGCCACGGAGCGAAUUACUGAACUUGUAAAAAAGAGCACAAUGCAACAAGGUGGUGGCGGAAAUGUCGCCGGUGCAAUGGUGUCGAAUGAAGCAUCGACUUUCUACAUGUCAGUUCCUGCUGCCAAAUGCGGUCUUGUAAUUGGAAAGGGUGGCGAGACGAUUAAGCAGAUCAACAGCGAAAGUGGAGCACAUUGUGAGCUUUCGCGUGAUCCAACUGGCAAUGCCGACGAAAAAGUGUUCGUAAUAAAAGGAGGGAAACGAGCAAUCGAACACGCUAAGCAUUUGAUUCGAAUCAAAGUCGGAGAUAUUGCACCGAACACUCCAUUCCGGGAUGAUUCGGCGAUGACUAUGCAAACACAGUUCUCAGCACCUGCUCAAAACAAUUUCGGAGGGCAACAACAAUGGAAUCCGGUAGCACAAAUUCCAGCAGCUGCGCAGAACCCAUACCAAGUUGGUGGAUGGCAACAAAACAGUGUUUAUGCUCAGCAAACGGCCGCGCCUGCUGCUGCCCCAUACGCUGCAGCCGGUAUCGUCCAACCACAGCAGCAAGUGGCAUAUCAACAACCGCAAGUAGUGCAGCAGGUUCAGCCUGCAACAACAGUUGCUGCCACGACGACACCUACCGUUGACCCAGUUACCGGCGAACAAGAUUAUUCAGCUCAGUGGAUGGAAUAUUAUAAAUCAAUUGGAGCUCACGACAAAGCUGAAGCAGUUGAAGCUCAGAUGAAGAAAAAGAAGGCAGAAGCAGCAGCUCGCGCGGUUGUACCAGGUGGACUCAUACAACAAAUGCCAAUGGGAAUGGCAAUGCCUCAAAUGUCAGCACAGGCUCGUGUUCCAACUCAAAAUUAUCCAGCUUACUCUGCUGCAGGAGCUGCUCCAUAUCAAGCACAACAAUAUGGACAAUAUCAAUAA
rnacentral:misc_RNA from 1 species